rnacentral:tRNA from 1 species
AAGCCCAGGAAAAGAAUUCGUCUCCAAAUUUGCAAUUUGGCACCUGCUGGGCC